GUUCAAAUCCCUUUUUUUGCU
rnacentral:tRNA from 1 species